GUUAAACGAAAACCUACGCUAGCCUGGCUCGCUCUCGCGCAUCUCUGUUCGCGCUCGUGCAUGAUUGCGCGUCCAUGUACUUGGAAUGGGUGGAGUCAGAGUCAGCGUUGAAGGAGAGGGGGUAGGACCAUUUGAGUUGUGUAUUUUCAAAAUCUGCUGGCGUUUCGCAAAUCGCGAAACGAAUUUGAUGGUUAGCAGAAAUUGGCAGAACACCUGCUCCACCUAGGAGGCCACCCCCCACCUAGGAGGCCACCCCCCACCAGGAGGCCACACCCCACCUCGGUGGCCACACCCCACCUCGGUGGCCACCACACCCUGCUCAUCAGUCAACCGAGUCAGACUCAGAACUCUCUACCAGCCAUCACGACAUCAUGAGUUAUGAGGCCAUGGCGUCCGUCGGCCAUCAGACCGCGGCCCAGCUGCUGCACAACAGGAGCGUGGUGGUGAUCGGGGACUCCAUCCAGCGGUCGGCGUACAAGGACCUGGUGCUGCUGCUGCAAAGGGACGGCUACCUGUCCGACAGCCAGCUCCGUAGGAAGGUAAUCAUGCCCGGUCUGCUGCUUAUGGAAAGGCAAGAAGGCCACAAUCCGGCCCUAGAAUGGCACGGUAAAAGCGCUUAACCGGCCCGAAUCCGUAUGGAAUCCGGCCGGUUUAAACGCUCUAAGCCGCGGUUUAGACGCAUUUAGCCGCGGCUAUCAGGCUCCUAUGUCAGUGUUGCUUUACGAGUGUGCUUUAAGGGUGUGCGCGUGCGUGCGUGCAUUGUCAUGUAGGCUAUAGAUAUAGACUGAUAGUCUUGGCUUGCAUCCAUGAAAUAUUGUGAUGUUAUGGCUUAGGCUACUGCAUAUUAAGAACAUUUAGAUCGGUGUUGAGCAACAAUCUGGGGAUGAGGACAUCCCCAAAUAUUGACGGGUAUUUCGAACACUGCCAUCUCAAUAUAUAGCCUAACAUAUAAAAAUAUUACAAUGUACCAGGCACAAAUCUAUUUUCCACUAGCUAGUGGUGGUCAAUACAUUGUAGUGUAUUAUACUGUAGAGCAGGG
ensembl:lncRNA